rnacentral:lncRNA from 1 species
CUCUCUGGGCAACCUGUGCCAGUGCCUCACCACCCUAAUUGUAAGGGCUUUGUUCCCCUGAUGUUUGAAAAGGACAAUUUAAGGCUACGCCUGUAUCAGCAACACGCUCUCAAAGUCAUUACAACGUUCCUGUGGCCGAUCGAAUUGAGGAGCAGCGGAUGGCGCAGGUCACACCCUCAAGCAGUCUCUGUGCUGUUUCAAUAGCUCUGCACAAGGCCCAGUAAACCUGCCGUCCCAGGAGGCUGAGACCCACACCUCUGAGAUAAGUGCCCCCCGGGGACCCUCAGAGCAGAAGGGCGCGUUGAGCUCUGCUGCACCCAGCGCAAUGGCCCCUGAAAUGGUGCCAGCUGUUGAGCUGGGCCUUUGCCUGCUCCAACUGACUCAGCUGGAAGCAGGCUGGCACCGAGCCGCGCCGGGAGCAAGGCACCGCCGUCAGCACAAAGCGAGUCCACGCACACGGCUUUGUAGCACGCCAUUUAUUAUUUCCAUCAUUAUUACACCGAGGCGUCAAACAAGAUGCUGGAGAUUAAACAGCAACAGUUAGCACACUAUUGGGUAUGCUGUGGUGGCCCACAGCAGGCAGACCGCUCGGGCCUGGAAGACACUGCAGCCUGCCUCCCAGUGCAAUGAAAUCCUCACCUGUCCAUCUCCUGAUCAGAGCUCUCAGUUGCUAGAAAUAGUGUGGCCCUGCUCUGCUGCCUACUUUCCUUUAUUGUUUUUUUUCCCUCUGGCAGGUUUGCAAGGGUCAGUGGUUAGCAGCUCUAUUCAUUCCUCUACCAGAAGACACAUCAUGGAUGCCAUCAGAAACGCCACCCGGGCACUGCUCGCUGCACUCAGGCUUUGAAAGCCUUGCAGCCAAACCCACAGUGGCAUGCUGGUGGAGAGACUCAGUGAGCCCGUAACUGCACAGAAGCACCAAGGACAUCCUUCAGCAGCCCCCACAAAGCAAGAGCUCGCUAUCAAGUCACUAACGUGCAUCAGCAUAUUGUCCGCCAAGGGGAGUGUCCAAGGGGCUCUUCCAUGGCCCUUCUGUCUGUGGAUUUAAAGAAAGAAAGAACCUUCUAAUUAAAUACAUCUACUCUCACUUCAAAAACCCACCCCCAUUACUGGGAGGUUCAGCACCGGUUCUCCUGAGGAUAUGGGAGCAAUUUACACCAGCCAACAAACCCUCUCCUAUGCUCUGUUCUGUCCUUUGCAGAGCAGAGGUAACCACAUCCACCUGAACAGAGGCGGGGGAGCUUAAUUAACUAAUAGUUACACAAUGCUUUCACAGGGAAAUCUUGUGUUUACAGCUUCGUUUUGUAAUAAACAGUGUCAGUG